GACGGGGGGGGCAAGUGUUCUUCGGAAUGACUGGGCGUAAGGGCACGUAGGCGGUGAAUCGGGUUGAAAGUGAAAGUCGCCAAAAAAGUGGCGGAAUGCUCUCGAAACCAAUUCACUUGAGUGAGACAGAGGAGAGUGGAAUUUCGUGUGUAGGGGUGAAAUCCGUAAUAUACGAAGGAACGCCAAAAGCGAAGGCAGCUCUCUGGGAUCCCU
rnacentral:rRNA from 1 species